UCGGUGAGGCAGCGCUGGGGAAAGAGAGUUUGUUUCUGCGGGGCGGGCGGUGCUGGGGAGGGAGUAUUUCAGGGGGGCUGGGUGGUGUUGGGGGGGCGUGUUUGGCUGGGUUUGGGGGGUGGUUUCGGCCCUCAGCUGUUUUCUUUGGAGAAAUAUGGCCCUCACUGCUUUACGGGUUGUGCAGGCCUGACCUAGAGCUUUUUUUG